GGUGCUUGGCAUGGCUGGAUCUGAGACAAUCACUUUUAGUGAUUCAAUCACAGCUUCACCGUUCUUGAAAAUACUGAAAAUUUCUGACUCUAAAAUACAGAUUUGGGCCCAAAGGAGGCCUGGUAACCUUAAGCUGCUACUGGGUUUAAUCAGAUGAUGAAGAUGAUUAAGGCCCAGAACAUGCUCCCUUAAAUCCUGAAUGGUGUACCUGAAUAGAUUGUGGUAUUAGCCACAAUAUUCUGUCACAUAUUCUGUGACAAUUAUGACUAAAACCCUGGCAUCUUCAUUUCCAAACCUAUCAUCUGUGUAAUGGACACAGAACAAAGCACAAAGCCUGAGACCUUCCCAUCCAGCAGUACACUUACAGAAUUGCAUAAAAACCAAACUGCAUUUUACUGCAGUCAUGAACAAGAAUAACAUAAUUGAUAAAAGCUUUAUGGUGAGAUGGAGGCAGGAGUUUGAGAAUUUCCAAGAUGCCAUGGAUCAGGAGACUAUAUUUUUUUUAUGGCCGAACUUUUUUUUUAUAAGUUUUACGGUUGUGGUGUUUGCAUUUUACAGCUCAUUCUGAGAGGUGGAUCUCAAGUUUUUCUAGGCAUAUGCUUAGAGGACUUUUCUUGUGAGUCACCAGUGCUACGGUAAAUGUGAAAGGCGACAUCAUCCUGAAUCUGAAGAUCUGCAAAAAACCACUGUUUGGGUCACAGAAGAGCAGCAGAAAGAGCAACAGCACCACACCAAAAGCUGCAGACUUUGAAAACAGGGACAGACGCAUAGGGUGUCUGUUCAAUGAUUGAUGUUUCUGAUCCAGUUGACUCAAGAAACAGUGGCAAAUGAGAGUGAGGAAGCU
rnacentral:lncRNA from 1 species